GAUGAAGAACGUAGCGAAAUGCGAAAAGUAAUGUGAAUUGCAGAAUUCAGUGAACCAUCGAAUCUUUGAACGCACAUUGCGCCCGCUGGAACUCCGGCGGGCACGCCUGUCCGAGCGUCAUUUCAACCCUCAGGCCCCCCUUCGCGGGCGGGCCUGGUGUUGGGGCCCGGCCGCUACCCUGCGGCCGUCCCCUAAAUCCAGUGGCGGCCUCGCCGUGAUCCCUUGCGUAGUAAUGCACCUCGCACCGGAGAGCGCCGUGGCCACGCCGUAAAACCCCCAAUUUUCAAUGGUUGACCUCGGAUCAGGUGGGAAUACCCGCUGAACUUAAGCAUAUCAAUAGCGGAGGA
rnacentral:misc_RNA from 1 species